AUUGAACGCUGGCGGCAGGCCUAACACAUGCAAGUCGAACGAGUGGCGGACGGGUGAGUAAUGUCUGGGAAACUGCCCGAUGGAGGGGGAUAACUACUGGAAACGGUAGCUAAUACCGCAUACCAUCGGAUGUGCCCAGAUGGGAUUAGCUAGUGGGUGGGGUAAAGGCUCACCAAGGCGACGAUCCCUAGCUGGUCUGAGAGGAUGACCAGCCACACUGGAACUGAGACACGGCCCAGACUCCUACGGGAGGCAGCAGUGGGGAAUAUUGGGCAAUGGGGGAAACCCUGAUCCAGCCAUCCCGCGUGUGUGAUGAAGGCCUUCGGGUUGUAAAGCUCUUUUGGUAGGAAAGCGGUACCUGCAGAAGAAGCACCGGCUAACUCCGUGCCAGCAGCCGCGGUAAUUC
rnacentral:rRNA from 1 species